rnacentral:misc_RNA from 1 species
GAUGAAGAACGCAGCGAAAUGCGAUAAGUAAUGUGAAUUGCAGAAUUCAGUGAAUCAUCGAAUCUUUGAACGCACAUUGCGCCCGCCAGUAUUCUGGCGGGCAUGCCUGUUCGAGCGUCAUUUCACCACUCAAGCCUCGCUUGGUAUUGGGCAACGCGGUCCGCCGCGUGCCUCAAAUCGACCGGCUGGGUCUUCUGUCCCCUAAGCGUUGUGGAAACUAUUCGCUAAAGGGUGUUCGGGAGGCUACGCCGUAAAACAACCCCAUUUCUAAGGUUGACCUCGGAUCAGGUAGGGAUACCCGCUGAACUUAAGCAUAUCAAUAAGCGGAGGA